CUAGCUUGAAUCCUAAAUAUCAACUGAUUAAUCAAAAUUGAUUACAUAGACUGGCUUAUAAACUUAAGAAUUAUUCUUAAUUUUAGAAAAUUAAGCUAUGUUCUCUAUCAAAUCAUUCUAAUGUUAACAACUCAUCCAAUCCAUAGUCAACGAGCUAUACUUGAUGAGUGGAUGGAUAAUGACAAUUAAGAUAGGUGCUAUGCAUGAGCACAUGUUCACUACCAACGACGUGUUGAUUCAUCUG
rnacentral:lncRNA from 1 species